rnacentral:rRNA from 1 species
CAGUAGCCGCGGUAAUACGUAGGGUGCGAGCGUUGUUCGGAAUUACUGGGCGUAAAGCGCACGUAGGCGGCUUGGUAAGUUAGAGGUGAAAGCCUGGAGCUCAACUCCAGAAUUGCCUUUAAGACUGCCGAGCUAGCAGGUGAGAGAGGUAAGUGGAAUUCCGAGUGUAGAGGUGAAAUUCGUAGAUAUUCGGAAGAACACCAGUGGCGAAGGCGGCUUACUGGCUCAUACUGGACGCUGAGGUGCGAAAGCGUGGGGAGCAAACAGGAUUAGAUACCCCAGUAGUCCCUGUCUCUUAUAC